rnacentral:rRNA from 1 species
AUUGAACGCUGGCGGCAUGCCUAACACAUGCAAGUCGAACGAGUGGCGGACGGGUGAGUAAUGUCUGGGAAACUGCCUGAUGGAGGGGGAUAACUACUGGAACCGGUAGCUAAUACCGCAUACCAUCGGAUGUGCCCACAUGGGAUUAGCUAGUAGGUGGGGUAAAGGCUCACCUAGGCGACGAUCCCUAGCUGGUCUGAGAGGCUGACCAGCCACACUGGAACUGAGACACGGCCCAGACUCCUACGGGAGGCAGCAGUGGGGAAUAUUGCACAAUGGGCGAAAGCCUGAUGGAGCCAUGCCGCGUGAAUGAAGAAGGCCUUCGGGUUGUAAAGCACUUUCAGCGGGGAAGCGGUACCCGCAGAAGAAGCACCGGCUAACUCCGUGCCAGCAGCCGCGGUAAUAC